GUCAUUUCUUCUGGAAUGGGUAAUGACCCAAAUCUAUAUGGCCCCUGGAUUGGACUGCGGCCGAUCAGGCUGUUGGUGAGGUAAUGGCCCACCAAACCUGUAACCGGUACGGGCUCUGAGAGGAGGAGCCCGGAGAUGGGCACUGAGACAAGGGCCCAGGCCCUAUGGGGCGCAGCAGGCGCGAAACCUCUGCAAUAGGCGAAAGCUUGACAGGGUUACUCUGAGUGAUUUCCGUUAAGGAGAUCUUUUGGCACCUCUAAAAAUGGUGCAGAAUAAGGGGUGGGCAAGUCUGGUGUCAGCCGCCGCGGUAAUACCAGCACCCCGAGUGGUCGGGACGUUUAUUGGGCCUAAAGCAUCCGUAGCCGGUUCUACAAGUCUUCCGUUAAAUCCACCUGCUUAACAGAUGGGCUGCGGAAGAUACUAUAGAGCUAGGAGGCGGGAGAGGCAAGCGGUACUCGAUGGGUAGGGGUAAAAUCCGUUGAUCCAUUGAAGACCACCAGUGGCGAAGGCGGCUUGCCAGAACGCGCUCGACGGUGAGGGAUGAAAGCUGGGGGAGCAAACCGGAUUAGAUACCCGGGUAGUCCCAGCUGUAAACGAUGCAGACUCGGUGAUGAGUUGGCUUAUUGCUAACUCAGUGCCG
rnacentral:rRNA from 1 species